rnacentral:rRNA from 1 species
AUUGAACGCUGGCGGCAGGCCUAACACAUGCAAGUCGAACGGUAACAGGAAACAGCUUGCUGUUUCGCUGACGAGUGGCGGACGGGUGAGUAAUGUCUGGGAAACUGCCUGAUGGAGGGGGAUAACUACUGGAAACGGUAGCUAAUACCGCAUAACGUCGCAAGACCAAAGAGGGGGACCUUCGGGCCUCUUGCCGUCGGAUGUGCCCAGAUGGGAUUAGCUAGUAGGUGGGGUAACGGCUCACCUAGGCGACGAUCCCUAGCUGGUCUGAGAGGAUGACCAGCCAAACUGGAACUGAGACACGGUCCAGACUCCGACGGGAGGCAGCAGUGGGGAAUAUUGCACAAUGGGCGCAAGCCUGAUGCAGCCAUGCCGCGUGUAUGAAGAAGGCCUUCGGGUUGUAAAGUACUUUCAGCGGGGAGGAAGGGAGUAAAGUCAAUACCUUUGCUCAUUGACGUUACCCGCAGAAGAAGCACCGGCUAACUCCGUGCCAGCCGCCGCAGUAA